ACCAGGCAGAGGAAGAGUUCAUGAGGAGGGACAGAUCUCCUCCCACUUGGAGCGCCUUCUGUCUGCUUUUGGAGAAAAGAAUAAAACAUAUACAAAGAGGCAGAGAAAAGGAAUGAGAAGUGAGAGAGCAGGAGGGUAAAAAAAAAAAAAAUUAAGGCGAGAUCAGAGAGGGCUGGGGUGGGCAGGGGCGCGCAGGACGCGGGGGCGGACUAACCGAGCCCCAGUGCGGUCGCCCGGGCAGGUGCCACGGCUGCUGCCGAGAGGCGGCAUGUGACGCGCGGCCGCAGCUGCCCGCGGGCGGAGCGCGCUCGGACCCGGGAGCGCAACCGCGGGCCAAGUCGGCUGCAGCCGGGAGCCCCGCACUCGCGACCGGCCGGGAGGAGCCCGCAGCUGCGCUUGCACCCAGAAGCCGGGCGAUGCAGACAAGGGCGGCUCCGAGGCACGAGCGAACCUGAGGACAGUCGCUGUCUCCGAACUCCCUGCUGCGAGAGACCGAGGUUCGGUAGAGCGGACUGGACAGUCCGGGAGAUUCGGGGAGGCGCGGAGGACUGGAGUGGGACAGCCACCUGGAGCACGGCUGCCAGAUAUGACCAGCAAUGGCAUCUACUUCACUUCUGACUUGCUCAGUGGACUGUGGAUUGAGUGAACCAUAUCCUUUCCCAUCAUGAUACACACCACAGAGACUCUCCUCUUGAAGUGCUGCGUUCUGACCAAGUGACCAAGCACGUGACAUUCUGAACUUCAGCAAAGGUACAAUAAGGUAAGUGUCUUUUCUAGUUGAUUCUUUGCUUGAAAUGGGAGUCAAUGACUUGAUCUAUAUUAGCUGAUCAAUGAUAGAUAUAACUGUAAGUUGGAGUUUGGAACCACUUAAAGGUUCUGCUGUAUGUAUCACCAUUACCCCUUCCAAAUAAUGGGCUUCACUGUGGUGUCUUCAUACACACAUGCCAUUAUAAUAUGUCCACAUUUCUUGCCAGACUUUGUGCAUAUCAAUAUGACUAUACAGACAUGCUCAAUUGUGUCUUAGUAGAAAUAACACUGUGUGCUUUCCUGGUCCAAUUCAGAUUUAAAGUAACAGCAUGCUUGCUGAAAUUUGAAACAAGCUGGCUUAUUUUAAAAUUGUAUGUGUGUGUGUGUAUGUGUGUGUGUAUGUACACACAUAUACAUACAUAUAUAUGCAUAUAUAUAUAAUAGAAGAUAGAAAGAAAGAAAGGUACAUACAUAUAUAUCUACAUACAUACAUAAUUUACCUCAACAGCAUCAGAAUGCAGAAUAUUUGAAUUACCAGCAUGUGUCUUGGCUUGUACAUAUAUAUUCUCGAGUAGCUUCUGAGAAGGUGGCCUGCUUCUUCAAAUCUUUUAAGCUUAAGAACUUUCCUUUGACUUAUAUUAUCUUGGCUCAACCGGUCCAAAGAUAUAGUGAGCAUGAAGAAAGAAGAUUAUAAAACAUACAAUUUUCUUUGCAUGUUACUGCUGAUUUUUUUUCCAUCCAGCAAAUACUGUUACUAUCCUACCCCAAGUCCACUUUUCCUUCCUGGCAAACUUAAUGCUGUGAAGGACAGCAUAGCACUUCCACUAAAAGUUCAUAUCAUAAUGAGCAUAGUGACUCAGAUCUAUAGGUUCAGCACUCAGGAAACUGAGGAAGAAAGAUGGCCAGGAACUUGAAGCCAGUCUGGGCUACAUAAUGAGUUUCAGGUCAGUCUGGCUACCACAUGAAAUCUUGUCUUGAAGGGGAAAAAAACAAAAAACAGCAUCCCAUCCUAUCUUCUUAGUACUCUUUACUUUAGCUGUAUGACUCAGUUUGAGCCCAUGGGCUCUAUGUAACCGCCAUAAAGAACAUUUCUUUAGGAAGAAUUGGUUUUGGAAUGUUUUCUUUUGUUUCUGUCUUGAGGUCCUAAUAGAGAUGCACAGCCUCAGAUUUCAAUCUCAGUGCACUACACUCAUAGGCAUCAAGAGCAUAAAGAGAAUAUAUCGAAUAUAUCCUAGAUCCUGAAGAGACUGUGGGCACGCACACACACAUACUUACAAGCAUGCACACACUUGGACACACAUAUGUACACUCAGGCAUUGACUGGGCCCAGCUUUUGUUGGGUCAUCUGACACUCAGAUUCAAGGAUGGACGAAGCCUAUCUGCAGCCUUCACACUGGGCCUUUAUGCUCAACAUCUGUCCACAGGACUUAAUCUCUAGAGCACUAUGAUAGGGUGCAUACUUCUCUUAUCUGUGUUUUGUAGAAGAUGAGACAUCCCUGAGAUACUAAUGACUGUGUCCGGUCAGUGGCGUUUGCUGGGUUUGCACUAUAACUUGUGGUUGUCUUUCCCCAUGUUGCACCUGUCCAGUCCUUAUCUUGGCGGUGUGGUGCCAGGAGCCUGGAUUGUUGCUGGUUAUAUUUUUACAGCUAUUAAGUGGGCCCGCUCAGUUCAGAAGUUUUGUGGAUUCGUGAGGUUUCCAUUAGUGUAUUUCACUCAUCAGAUUAGUUGAACCAAGUAAGUCUACUCCUUUCUGGGG
rnacentral:lncRNA from 1 species